GAUCCUGGCUCAGGAUAAACGCUGGCGGCGCACAUAAGACAUGCAAGUCGAACGGACUUAACCAUUAGUUUACUGAUGGAGCGGUUAGUGGCGGACUGGUGAGUAACACGUAAGCAAUCUGCCUAUCAGAGGGGAACAACAGUUAGAAAUGACUGCUAAUACCGCAUAUGCCUAAGCAACACAUGUUGCAAUAGGGAAAGGAGCAAUCCGCUGAAAGAUGGUCUCGCGUCUGAUUAGCUAGUUGGUGAGGUAACGGCUCACCAAGGCGACGAUCAGUAGCCGGUCUGAGAGGUUGAACGGCCACAUUGGGACUGAGAUACGGCCCAGACUCCUACGGGAGGCAGCAGUGGGGAAUAUUGGGCAAUGGGCGCAAGCCUGACCCAGCAAUGCCGCGUGAAGGAAGACGGUUUCGGAUUGUAAACUUCUUUAAGAGGGACGAUAAUGACGGUACCUCUUGAAUAAGCCACGGCUAACUACGUG
rnacentral:rRNA from 1 species